rnacentral:lncRNA from 1 species
UAGUAAAGAUCCGAAGCCACUGUCCGGGAAAUGUCUGUCUUCUCAGAGGAACAGGAGAUGACAGCAGAUUUCCAGCUACCUUACCAUGCAGUACAUCAGAGGCGAGAAACAAGGUGCUGGAUUUGGUAGUUGGGAAAAAUGAACAGGCAUGUGCUUCAAGACUUAAAUGGAGAUACUCAGCUGCUGUCACUUUUUCUUAAUGAGAGGAUUCUUGGCAGCCUGAGGUAACAGCCAUCUUGGAAGAAACGUCAUUACGCUGAAGUGAUUGUUUUCUCUUCAAAUAGCAAGGCAAUUGAAUGAUGUCUGAUUUUUUAAAUCUAGGAGAUGCCACUGACUUAAGGCUGAAGUGCUCAUAAAGUGAUGUUGCCUGCAAAAGUGAUAAGGCAGAUUGAAGAACUGGGAGAAUUUCCCUCGGUCUCUAUCAUUAUAUGUGUCAUUCUAAUAAGCUACCAUGCACCAAAUGGAAGCAAGUUAUGAAGCCUAGGCUGGCUGUGGAGUUGACUAAAUAGAAUGAGUAUUCGGGAUGGAUCCCAAAGUGCAAUAAAAGUAAAU